UGCGCAGGCGGGAUUUUAAGUCAGCGGUGAAAUUUUCAGGCUCAACCUGAACACUGCCGUUGAAACUGGGAUUCUUGAGUAUGGAUGAAGUAGGCGGAAUUCGUUGUGUAGCGGUGACACGCUUAGAUAUAACGAGGAACUCCGAUUGCGUAGGCAGCUUACUAAGCCAUAACUGACGCUCAAGCACGAAAGCGUGGGAUCAAACA
rnacentral:rRNA from 1 species